AUUGAACGCUGGCGGCAUGCUUUACACAUGCAAGUCGAACGGUAACAGGUUAAGCUGACGAGUGGCGAACGGGUGAGUAAUGCAUCGGAACGUGCCCGAUCGUGGGGGAUAACGCAGCGAAAGCUGCGCUAAUACCGCAUACGAUCUGAGGAUGAAAGCGGGGGACCGUAAUGCCUCGCGCGAUCGGAGCGGCCGAUGUCAGAUUAGGUAGUUGGUGGGGUAAAGGCGCACCAAGCCAACGAUCUGUAGCUGGUCUGAGAGGACGACCAGCCACACUAGUACUGAGGCACGGCCCAGACUCCGACGGGAGGCAGCAGUGGGGAAUUUUGGAAAAUGGGCGAAAGCCUGAUCCAGCAAUGCCGCGUGCAGUAAGAAGGCCUUCGGGGUGUAAACUGCUUUUGUACUGAGCGAAAAGGUCCCCUCUAAUACAGGGGGCUCAUGACGGUACCGUAAGAAUAAGCACCGGCUAACUACGUGCCAGCCGCCGCAGUAA
rnacentral:rRNA from 1 species